AUGUGCUAUGUAGUACAAAACUUCAGGUAUUAUGGUAGGUUCACAAUUUCUGUGGAAGCUGAGGACAAUCGUUUCUCUCAGUUGAUGAUUUUGAUUCACUUCUUUAAGAGGUAAUUUUGAUUAAGUUCUCUGAUUUCCUAGAGGUUGUGAUGGCUGAAGUCAAAAUUUGAACCUUGGCGAGGCAGAAUCGGAGGACGACAAGCUGGGUUCUCCCCUUACAAAUUCAUUAACUCUUAUUUUUCAAUAAUUUAUAUACAUUUUUGUUUGAUUAUUAUGUAUAUAACAUUAAAAAGGUUUGUAUCUAACAUAAGUAUGUCAUUUAGUUAGUUUUGUUAUAAUUUUAUGUAUAAUAAUAGUUGUUAUGUAAAUAUGUUAAAUAAAAGCUAUAUAAAUAAUAGGUUGGUUUAGGCUCGCGAGCCGGCUUGAGCACGAUAAGUGAAGCUUCGGCUCGGGCUCGUUAAUUAAACAAGCUUAAUUUUAGGCUCAAGCUUGGGAUCAAACCUAUGAUGCACUGGGACGGGUACGGGUACGGGAAGGGGGUACGGGGACGGGUACGGGAACGGGAACGGGAAACGGCAAAACUAAAAAUUUCAAGAAGCGGGGACAGGACGGGUACGGGAAUAAAAACAUAUAUAAAAUAAAUAUAUAUUAAAGAUAAUGAAACACAAAACCCCAAAAUAGUUAUAUAUUGAUCUAAAGUUCAAAAAUCCCAUAUCUUCCUAAUCUAAUCAAACGUUAACAAGCAAAUCGCUUUCAAGUUCCGGUUUUAAACGUGAUUGUCGCUUGGUAUAAUUGAAUAGGUGGGGGCGCUAUUUUAGAAUAGGAUUAAAAUUUUUUUU
rnacentral:lncRNA from 1 species